AUUGAACGCUGGCGGCAGGCCUAACACAUGCAAGUCGAAUGGUAACAGGAAACAGCUUGCUGUUUCGCUGACGAGUGGCGGACGGGUGAGUAAUGUCUGGGAAACUGCCUGAUGGAGGGGGAUAACUACUGGAAACGGUAGCUAAUACCGCAUAACGUCGCAAGACCAAAGAGGGGGACCUUCGGGCCUCUUGCCAUCAGAUGUGCCCAGAUGGGAUUAGCUAGUAGGUGGGGUAACGGCUCACCUAGGCGACGAUCCCUAGCGGGUCUGAGAGGAUGACCAGCCACACUGGAACUGAGACACGGUCCAGACUCCUACGGGAGGCAGCAGUGGGGAAUAUUGCACAAUGGGCGCAAGCCUGAUGCAGCCAUGCCGCGUGUAUGAAGAAGGCCUUCGGGUUGUAAAGUACUUUCAGCGGGGAGGAAGGGAGUAAAGUUAAUACCUUUGCUCAUUGACGUUACCCGCAGAAGAAGCACCGGCUAACUCCGUG
rnacentral:rRNA from 1 species